UGAGGAAUAUUGGUCAAUGGGGGCAACCCUGAACCAGCCAAGUCGCGUGAAGGAUGAAGGUCUUAUGGAUUGUAAACUUCUUUUAUACAGGAAUAAAUUGGGGGACGUGUCCCCUUUUGCAUGUACUGUAUGAAUAAGGAUCGGCUAACUCCGUGCCAGCAGCCGCGGUAAUACGGAGGAUCCGAGCGUUAUCCGGAUUUAUUGGGUUUAAAGGGUGCGCAGGCGGGAUGUUAAGUCGGCGGUGAAAUUUUGCAGCUCAACUGUAAAAGUGCCUUCGAUACUGGCCUCCUUGAGUGUGGAUGAAGUAGGCGGAAUUUGUGGUGUAGCGGUGAAAUGCAUAGAUAUCACGCAGAACUCCGAUUGCGAAGGCAGCUUACUAAGCUACAACUGACACUGAAGCACGAAAGCGUGGGGAUCAAACA
rnacentral:rRNA from 1 species